GAAUCAACACAGAAGGAGGCCAGGCGCCGUGGCUCACCCCUGUAAUCCCAGCACUUUGGGAGGCCGAGGCGGGUGGAUCACGAGAUCAGGAGAUCAAGACCAUCCUGGCUAACACGAAUGACUUGGGAUAUAAAUAAACUAAAUAUAUCCUGUUUGAAUAAUAAGUGGAAGACAGCUUGAUGAAUUGGACAAGGAAGCCCUUGGAACAGGAUGUAAAAGCAGCACUUUCCAUCCAGCCUGACAUCCUGCUUCCAGAUGCAGAAGGCUGAGCAGGCCACCAGGAUCACAUUUAAAUGGCUGUGGCCAUGAUGUUCCAAUUUGAAACCUGGACUCCACCAACUUCCAUACUCAUCCCUUGCUCUCAGCCCUCUCCCUCCCCUGUCCAGGUCCUCAGGAUGAUCUGAGAAAUAUGUUACACUUUUCUUCCUCGCUAGAUGUCAACACGUUGGAAGGCAGGGACCUUGCCAUAUUAAUCCUUAGGGCCUUGGGUUCUGCUGUAGUAAAGACUCAAAAAAUGUUGGGUAAAAUUAAUUUUAAAAACAACUGGUGGCCGGGUGCGGUGGCUCACGCCUAUGAUCCCAGCACUUUGGGAGGCCAAGGCGGGUGGAUCACCUGAGGUCAGGAGUUCGAGACCAGCCUGGGCAACAUGGUGAAACCCUGUCUUUACUAAAAAUACAAAAAUUAGCCUGGCGUGGUGGCAGCGCCUGUAGUCCCAGCUACUUGGGAGGCUAAGACAGGAGAAUUGCUUGAACUUGGGAGGCAGAGGUUGCAGUGAACUGAGAUU